GAUGAACGCUAGCGGCAGGCUUAACACAUGCAAGUCGAGGGGCAGCGCGGUAGCAAUACUGGCGGCGACCGGCAAACGGGUGCGGAACACGUACACAAUCUACCUAUGUCUGGGGCAUAGCCCGGAGAAAUCCGGAUUAACUCCCCAUAAUAUACAUGAAAGGCAUCUUUUGAGUAUUAAAAAUUUAUUGGACAGAGAUGAGUGUGCGUCCCAUUAGCUAGNGGUAGGGUAACGGCCUACCAAGGCGACGAUGGGUAGCUGGUGUGAGAGCACGACCAGCCACACGGGCACUGAGACACGGGCCCGACUCCUACGGGAGGCAGCAGUGAGGAAUAUUGGUCAAUGGACGCAAGUCUGAACCAGCCAUGCCGCGUGAAGGAUGAAGGCCUUC
rnacentral:rRNA from 1 species